rnacentral:rRNA from 1 species
UAAGCGACUAAGCGUACACGGUGGAUGCCCUGGCAGUCAGAGGCGAUGAAGGACGUGCUAAUCUGCGAUAAGCGUCGGUAAGGUGAUAUGAACCGUUAUAACCGGCGAUUUCCGAAUGGGGAAACCCAGUGUGUUUCGACACACUAUCAUUAACUGAAUCCAUAGGUUAAUGAGGCGAACCGGGGGAACUGAAACAUCUAAGUACCCCGAGGAAAAGAAAUCAACCGAGAUUCCCCCAGUAGCGGCGAGCGAACGGGGAGGAGCCCAGAGCCUGAAUCAGUGUGUGUGUUAGUGGAAGCGUCUGGAAAGGCGCGCGAUACAGGGUGACAGCCCCGUACACAAAAAUGCACAUACUGUGAGCUCGAUGAGUAGGGCGGGACACGUGGUAUCCUGUCUGAAUAUGGGGGGACCAUCCUCCAAGGCUAAAUACUCCUGACUGACCGAUAGUGAACCAGUACCGUGAGGGAAAGGCGAAAAGAACCCCGGCGAGGGGAGUGAAAAAGAACCUGAAACCGUGUACGUACAAGCAGUGGGAGCCUCUUUAUGGGGUGACUGCGUACCUUUUGUAUAAUGGGUCAGCGACUUAUAUUCUGUAGCAAGGUUAACCGAAUAGGGGAGCCGAAGGGAAACCGAGUCUUAACUGGGCGUUAAGUUGCAGGGUAUAGACCCGAAACCCGGUGAUCUAGCCAUGGGCAGGUUGAAGGUUGGGUAACACUAACUGGAGGACCGAACCGACUAAUGUUGAAAAAUUAGCGGAUGACUUGUGGCUGGGGGUGAAAGGCCAAUCAAACCGGGAGAUAGCUGGUUCUCCCCGAAAGCUAUUUAGGUAGCGCCUCGUGAAUUCAUCUCCGGGGGUAGAGCACUGUUUCGGCAAGGGGGUCAUCCCGACUUACCAACCCGAUGCAAACUGCGAAUACCGGAGAAUGUUAUCACGGGAGACACACGGCGGGUGCUAACGUCCGUCGUGAAGAGGGAAACAACCCAGACCGCCAGCUAAGGUCCCAAAGUCAUGGUUAAGUGGGAAACGAUGUGGGAAGGCCCAGACAGCCAGGAUGUUGGCUUAGAAGCAGCCAUCAUUUAAAGAAAGCGUAAUAGCUCACUGGUCGAGUCGGCCUGCGCGGAAGAUGUAACGGGGCUAAACCAUGCACCGAAGCUGCGGCAGCGACGCUUAUGCGUUGUUGGGUAGGGGAGCGUUCUGUAAGCCUGUGAAGGUGUGCUGUGAGGCAUGCUGGAGGUAUCAGAAGUGCGAAUGCUGACAUAAGUAACGAUAAAGCGGGUGAAAAGCCCGCUCGCCGGAAGACCAAGGGUUCCUGUCCAACGUUAAUCGGGGCAGGGUGAGUCGACCCCUAAGGCGAGGCCGAAAGGCGUAGUCGAUGGGAAACAGGUUAAUAUUCCUGUACUUGGUGUUACUGCGAAGGGGGGACGGAGAAGGCUAUGUUGGCCGGGCGACGGUUGUCCCGGUUUAAGCGUGUAGGCUGGUUUUCCAGGCAAAUCCGGAAAAUCAAGGCUGAGGCGUGAUGACGAGGCACUACGGUGCUGAAGCAACAAAUGCCCUGCUUCCAGGAAAAGCCUCUAAGCAUCAGGUAACAUCAAAUCGUACCCCAAACCGACACAGGUGGUCAGGUAGAGAAUACCAAGGCGCUUGAGAGAACUCGGGUGAAGGAACUAGGCAAAAUGGUGCCGUAACUUCGGGAGAAGGCACGCUGAUAUGUAGGUGAAGCGACUUGCUCGUGGAGCUGAAAUCAGUCGAAGAUACCAGCUGGCUGCAACUGUUUAUUAAAAACACAGCACUGUGCAAACACGAAAGUGGACGUAUACGGUGUGACGCCUGCCCGGUGCCGGAAGGUUAAUUGAUGGGGUUAGCGGUAACGCGAAGCUCUUGAUCGAAGCCCCGGUAAACGGCGGCCGUAACUAUAACGGUCCUAAGGUAGCGAAAUUCCUUGUCGGGUAAGUUCCGACCUGCACGAAUGGCGUAAUGAUGGCCAGGCUGUCUCCACCCGAGACUCAGUGAAAUUGAACUCGCUGUGAAGAUGCAGUGUACCCGCGGCAAGACGGAAAGACCCCGUGAACCUUUACUAUAGCUUGACACUGAACAUUGAGCCUUGAUGUGUAGGAUAGGUGGGAGGCUUUGAAGUGUGGACGCCAGUCUGCAUGGAGCCGGCCUUGAAAUACCACCCUUUAAUGUUUGAUGUUCUAACGUUGGCCCCUGAUCGGGGUUGCGGACAGUGUCUGGUGGGUAGUUUGACUGGGGCGGUCUCCUCCUAAAGAGUAACGGAGGAGCACGAAGGUUGGCUAAUCCUGGUCGGACAUCAGGAGGUUAGUGCAAUGGCAUAAGCCAGCUUGACUGCGAGCGUGACGGCGCGAGCAGGUGCGAAAGCAGGUCAUAGUGAUCCGGUGGUUCUGAAUGGAAGGGCCAUCGCUCAACGGAUAAAAGGUACUCCGGGGAUAACAGGCUGAUACCGCCCAAGAGUUCAUAUCGACGGCGGUGUUUGGCACCUCGAUGUCGGCUCAUCACAUCCUGGGGCUGAAGUAGGUCCCAAGGGUAUGGCUGUUCGCCAUUUAAAGUGGUACGCGAGCUGGGUUUAGAACGUCGUGAGACAGUUCGGUCCCUAUCUGCCGUGGGCGCUGGAGAACUGAGGGGGGCUGCUCCUAGUACGAGAGGACCGGAGUGGACGCAUCACUGGUGUUCGGGUUGUCAUGCCAAUGGCACUGCCCGGUAGCUAAAUGCGGAAGAGAUAAGUGCUGAAAGCAUCUAAGCACGAAACUUGCCCCGAGAUGAGUUCUCCCUGAGACUUUAAGUCUCCUGAAGGAACGUUGAAGACGACGACGUUGAUAGGCCGGGUGUGUAAGCGCAGCGAUGCGUUGAGCUAACCGGUACUAAUGAACCGUGAGGCUUAACCU